rnacentral:rRNA from 1 species
CAGAGGGGGCAAGCGUUAUUCGGAAUUAUUGGGCGUAAAGGGCGCGUAGGCGGCCUUUCAAGUGACGGGUGAAAUCCCUCGGCUUAACCGAGGAACUGCCUGUCAGACUGGAAGGCUUGAGACCGGGAGAGGUGAGUGGAAUUCCCAGUGUAGCGGUGAAAUGCGUAGAUAUUGGGAGGAACACCAGUGGCGAAGGCGGCUCACUGGACCGGAACUGACGCUGAGGCGCGAAAGCGUGGGGAGCAAACAGGAUUAGAUACCCUGGUAGUCCACGCCGUAAACGAUGAGUGCUUGGUGUAGCGGGUAUCGACCCCUGCUGUGCCGAAGUCAACACAUUAAGCACUCCGCCUGGGGAGUACGGUCGCAAGACUG